UACCAGCACCCCGAGUGGUCGGGACGAUUAUUGGGCCUAAAGCAUCCGUAGCCGGUUCUGCAAGUCCUCCGUUAAAUCCACCCGCUCAACGGUUGGGCCGCGGGGGAUACUACAGGGCUAGGAGGCGGGAGAGGCAAGCGGUACUCGAUGGGUAGGGGUAAAAUCCACUGAUCCAUUGAAGACCACCAGUGGCGAAGGCGGCUUGCCAGAACGCGCUCGACGGUGAGGGAUGAAAGCUGGGGGAGCAAACCGG
rnacentral:rRNA from 1 species